ensembl:lncRNA
UUUUUUUUUUUUUUUUUUUUAAGUCAGCAUAGUAUACAAUGUGAUUUUUAGUAAGAAUAUUUCAGAAUUUCCUGAGGGGCUUUUCAAACCAAAGCUUCUACAGAAGCCCACCUUCCUGAUGACUGCCUUAGUGAGCUAUUGAAUGGUGGCAACAACCUAAAGGGAGGCAUCUUAGCCCUCAAAUAUAUUGGAGGGGGACAAAAGUUAAGAAAUAACAGUAACUAGGGAGUUCCCGUUGUGGCUCAGUGGUGAAUGAAUCUGACUAGGAACCAUGACGUUUCGGGUUCGAUCCCUGGCCUUGCUCAUGGGUUAAGGAUCCAGUAUUGCCAUGAGCUGUGGUGUAGGUCGCAGACUCAGCUUGGAUCCCGAGUUGCUGUGGCUGUGGUGUAGGGCGGUGGCUACAGCUCCGAUUCAACCCCUAGCCUGGGAACCUCCAUAUGCCACGGGAGCAGCUCAAGAAAAGGCAAAAAGACGAGGAAAAAAAAAAAGAAAAAAGAAAAAAAGAAAUAACAGUAACUAAAAUUAAAAUGUAAAGCUUAGACAUGUUAAGUGUUUGGGCAUCAAAUGAAUAAGCUACUUCAUCUACUUAUAUUAUUCUAAUUUAGCAUUCAAUUAAUUUUGAAUUAAAUUCAUUCUAAAGUCAAACUUGAUACCCUAAUUUGAUAUACAUUAACAGAUAAUAAAUGUUUUUAAGUUUGAUUAUAGUUUAAUAUGCUAUCUUAAAACAAAAUGAGGUUUAUAGUAAAAAAAAAAAAAAAAGAUGUUUGACAGAAGUUUUAAAUAGGCAUCCCAUUAAUUCCACGGAUUCUGGUUUGUGCUAAAAGAUACAUGAAUACUUAACCAUGCCAGGGGAGAGAAAAUACUUAGGUUAAUGGAGCUACAAAAGAAACUACUGUUAUUACUGAACAGCUAGUGUACUGUCCAUUUCAUCAAAGGAUUCAUCAGAUCAGGCCAAGAAAUCCUAUAAAAAAAAUAUUUCAUGGUUAAAGCACAUUCAAAAUUACAAAGAACAUGCAAUAUUAUUAUAAUUAACUUCAAUUCUUAAUAAAGAGCCAAUGCCAUACUAGAGAAGAAAAGCCCUUAUACUGUUAAGUGAUAUGAUUAUUAGUGAAUAAGUUAAAGGUAUCUUAUUUGAUGCUUUAAAUGAACAACAUGAUUUUAUUUAAAUGAACAUUGUUACAUUUUUUUUCAACCACAAAUCCCUCAAAUAUGACUCCUAUAAGCUUUUCACAUAUUACUUAAUUGAUGAGAUAAGUCUACCACUUUUUUGUUUAUAGUGGUUGAAUAUCUUUGCAAGUUACACUGAAGAAAAAUCUCCAGGCACUAAAAAACUGAAUCAGUUUUUAUCUGAAGAGAAUAGCUAGUUAGUAGCAUUUACUACUCCAUAAAUUAUUUAUGACAGACAUUGUAAAUUAUCAUUCCAAUUCCAAAUGGUUUGGAAUAUUUUAAAUUUCUAAAUCAAAAUAUGACCUCCAUCAAAAAGUAGUCAUACAAACAGAAAGACCCCUUUUAAGGGGAAUAUUUUUAUGGAUCACCUUGUUCUGGUUCUGAAUUCCUCUAUAGAUAGUUCAGUUCACAGGCAUGGUUAAGAACUUUCAAGUGUUUACCUAUAUAUCCUUAGUAGGAGUGCAAUGCCUAACACACUGUAGGUACCCAAUAAAUGUCAGGGGCAGAAUUCCCGUCGUAGCUCAGUGGUUAAGGAAUCCAACUAGGAACCCAUGAGAUUGCAGGUUCGAUCCCUGGCCUUGCUCAGUGGGUUAAGGAUCCAGUGUUGCUGUGAGCUGUGGUGUAGAUUGCAGACGUGGCUCAGAUCCCACGUUGCUGUGGCUCUGGUGUAGACCAGCGGCUACAGUUCCAAUUAGACCCCUAGCCUGGGAACCUUCAUAUGCUACAGAAGUGGCCCUAGAAAAGGCAAAAAGACAAAAAUAAAUAAAUAAAUAAAUAAAUGUCAGGGGUAAAACUGGAGGAAAAAGUAGUAGGAAACCAACAAUCUACAACCCUAUAUGAAUCACAUGGCUAAGUCUCCAAACACCUUGAACAAAAUUUGGAGCAAACUGGAGAAUACAGUGUACGAUACCACAUGAAGAAAGGUUUAAGAAAGUGCAAAACAUACUUAUGAAUAUAAUAUAUAUAUAAUCAACGUAUUAAGGAAAGAAAAGGAAUGAUAAUUACCCUUACUGGUUAGGGGUGAGUAGAAGACCGAAGUGUGUGAUACAGAGGGAUUCAACUAUACUAUUAAUGUCUUAGUUCUCAGUUCUGAUGAAAUACCCUUUUAAGUGUCUUAAACAUUUCAUCUUUUGUUUUAAUAGUUGUCUUAUCUGAACGAAAAUGAACUAAUUUUAUUUUAAAUGUCAAGAAAUAAAAACAACUUUCUAGAAAUUAUUCCAGGAUGCAGAUAUCAUCUACAUAUUAUUAGAAAAUAGUUUUAAACAGCUUCCUUUCUGGACUGUAGUGAAAAAUGUUGCUAUCAGGAGUUCCCAUCGUGGCUCAGUGGUUAACGAACCAGACUAGUAUCCAUGAGGAAGUGGGUUCGAUUCCUGGCUUCGCUCAACGGGUUAGGGAUAAAGCGUUGCCGUGAGCUGUGGUGUAGGUUGCAGAUGUGGCUCAGAUCUGGCGUUGCUGUUUCUGUGGUGCAGGCCAGCGGCUAUAGCUCCUAUUGGACCCCUAGCCUGGGAACCUCCAUAUGCCACGGGAGUGGCCCAAGAAAUGGCAAAAAGACCAAUAAAUAAAUAAAUAAAAUAUUACAAAACAAAGGAGUUCCUGCUGUGCUGCAGUGGGUUAAGAAUCGACAGUACUACAGUAUAGCAUAGGGAACUAUUCCCAAUCUAUUUGGGAUAGACCAUGAUAGAGGAUAAGGAAGACAUAUACAUGUAUGACUGAGUCCAUGUGCUAUACAGCAGAAGAUGGCACAACACUGUAAAUCAACUAUACUUCAAUUAAAAAAAAGAAAGAAUCCUACUGCUGCAGCUCUGGUUGCUGCAGAGACGCAGGUUUGAUUCCUAGCCAGGCACAGUGGAUUAAAGGAUGGCUUUGCUAUUGCUGCAGCUGUGGCUUGGAUUCAAACUGGCCCAGGAACUUCCAUGGGUGCAGCCACAUAAAAAAAAUUAAAAUAUUAGAAAACACAUAGUAAUACACAGAAAACAUGUAAACAAGUUAAUUGGGAAUUAAAUGUUCUGCCUCAUCAUAACUGUGAUAUAUAUAUAUAUACUUUCAAAAUUUACAAUAGAAACCAAAAAUCCAGCUUAAUGGAGUUCUUAUUUAAUUCAGUUAAACAUUUAUUGAAAACCAAUUAUGUAAAAAAGACACAUGCACCCACAUGUUCACUGCAGCACUAUUCACAAUAGCCAAGACAUGGAAACAACCCAAAUGUCCAUUGACAGAUGGUUGGAUUAGGAAGAUAAAGAAAAAGACAAAUACCAUAUAUCACUUAUAACUGGAAUCUAAUAUACAGCACAAAUGAACAUUUCCACAGAAAAGAAAAUCAUAGACUUGGAGAAUAGACUUGCGGCUGCCCAGGGGGCAGAGGGAGGGAGUGGGAGGGAUCGGGAGCUCGGGGUUAGUGGAUGCAAACUAUUGCUCUUGGAAUGGAUUUACAAUGAGAUUCUGCUGAAUAGCAUUGAGAACUAUGUCUAGAUACUUACACUGCAACACAACAAUGGGAAGAAAAAGUAUGUAUACAUGUAUGUGUAACUUGGUCCCCAUGUUGUACAGCGGAAUAAACAAAUAAAUAAAUAAAUAAGAAAGAAAAGAAAACCAAUUAUGUGCCUAUAUCCCAAUCUAACCAAUUAAAAAAAAAUAGGAAGAUACUCUAUCUAUUCUAUUAUUGUUCUAAAUAAAUCAUUUUUGACUAGACGUUAUUUCACUGAAAGAAAUCACUGUGAGAGACAAGGGAUAGGAUAAAAUGCUGCUUAAGCAGCCCUUUAAAAAAAUCCUAACCUUUUCUGUUACAUUUUAUUUAACACUUUUGAUCUAUGACAAUGUGGUAAAAGUAAAGGUGCUUUCUUAUAACAACAUACUUACUCAGAACAACAUAGCAAAUGAGUGUUAAAAUAAUGAGUUAAAGUAUAUGAUUUUAACUAACCUUUCAAAAUUAAGAACUUUUGAAUACGUAAAAAUGGAUGAUUCUCAGAUUGUGAGUACAAAAGUCUACUUAUGAAUAUAAAUAGAAAUCUAGAGUUGAUCACUUAAAAGUAUCACAAACAAUGCUCCCACAGAAUAAGAAGUAAAGGUAUAUAAGAAAAAGAUCAUUUAUAAAGAAAGAAACUUUGGAAACAGCAAAGCAUAAAUAAUAUAAAUUCCGAGUGGUAUAACCAUAAAAUUGCCAACAGAAGUAAUUGACAUAUGACUCCACUAAAAAAAAAAAAAAAAAGACUUUCAAACUAAACUCUCUACAAUUCAGUACUAAAAGCAACUUGUUAAAGAGAAAACUAGUGAACUAAGAAUCUGGAGACUGUGUAACUCUCAGCAAAUGCAAUCUAACAUCUGAGUUCAGUUUCCUUAUUUACAACACGGAUCUGGGAAGGUAUCUGAAUGUAAAAGUUUCCUUUGAAAGGACUCCCUUUCAAAGAUAUUUCCCUUAAUAUCUUUCUGUACAAGAUAUUAAAAUCUAUUCUCUGGCAUAUGGUCAUAGCUCCACUGUUGCUUGUUUUUUUCCCACCCACUUGUCUUCUUUAAAAUUAACACAUCUUACAUUUUAACACAUCUCUUAACACAUUAACAUUUUAACACAUCUCUUCUGAUAUCGGAGCAUCUACUCAAUAGCAAGCCAUUUUGCUUGGCAAAUUAAUCAGAUGAAGUUUAAAUGCCUACUUUAUUAUUUUUUUUAAACAAUGUGAGGCGUCCCCGUCUUUUGCAAACACCGAGAAUCAAUAUCUAAACAAGCACCAACUCACCCCAAGUACCGCCCUAUAAAAAAGUUGAUAAAUUAUCUGUUCAUUCCCUAUUCGUCACACAUAAUAACAAGGAAAUUCACAAGGAAUGACAUCUAACAAGUCACAACCUGAUGAUGAAAACUUGCUGGACCAGAGAACAGUUACAGCGAGAAGUAGUCAAAGACAAACAGCAAGAAAAGGAGGAUAAAGCAAAUUAUCAACUCCCAAAUCCGGCUAGUCAAGCUGGACGGCAAGUCCGGCACGUCAGAAGCCAGGUAGGACCUGGAAACCAGAACGAAGUAGGCUGUGGCAGCCCCGACCCUCACGGAAACGCCGGGGUCUCCACCUGGCCGGCCGCACCCCUGAGACGCUGGUCAGCUGGGGAUCAGAGAAGAGGCGAGAACAAGCGAACAAGCAGUCGCUGUGGACAGACUUCCAGCUCCAGGCCUCGGUGGCCUCACGCGCCCCGCACGCCCAUCCUCAAGUCCGAGCUCCACAGGCC